AGCGAACGCUGGCGGCAGGCCUAACACAUGCAAGUCGAACGAAGCCUUCGGGCUUAGUGGCGGACGGGUGAGUAACACGUGGGAACGUACCUUUUGGUUCGGAAUAACGCAGAGAAAUUUGCGCUAAUACCGAAUGAGCCCUUCGGGGGAAAGAUUUAUCGCCGAAAGAUCGGCCCGCGUUGGAUUAGGUAGUUGGUGUGGUAAAGGCGCACCAAGCCUACGAUCCAUAGCUGGUCUGAGAGGAUGAUCAGCCACACUGGGACUGAGACACGGCCCAGACUCCUACGGAGGCAGCAGUGGGGAAUCUUGCGCAAUGGGCGAAAGCUUGACGCAGCCAUGCCGCGUGAAUGAUGAAGGUCUUAGGAUUGUAAAAUUCUUUUACCAGGGACGAUAAUGACGGUACCUGGAGAAAAAGCCCCGGCUAACUUCGUGCCAGCCGCCGCCGUAACAC
rnacentral:rRNA from 1 species